UACGAAGGGGGCUAGCGUUGCUCGGAAUUACUGGGCGUAAAGGGCGCGUAGGCGGCGCACCAAGUCAGGCGUGAAAUUCCUGGGCUCAACCUGGGGACUGCGCUUGAGACUGGCGUGCUAGAGGAUGGAAGAGGCUCGUGGAAUUCCCAGUGUAGAGGUGAAAUGCGUAGAUAUCGUAAGGAAGACCAGUGGCGAAGGCGGGUCUCUGGACAGUUCCUGACGCUGAGGCACGAAGGCCAGGGGAGCAAACGGG
rnacentral:rRNA from 1 species